GACAGAGGGGGCAAGCGUUGCUCGGAAUCACUGGGCGUAAAGGGCGCGUAGGCGGGAUGGCAAGUCAGUCGUGAAAUCUCUCGGCUCAACCGAGAAACGUCGGCUGAUACUGCCGUUCUUGAGGGAUGCAGAGGAGACUGGAAUUCCCGGUGUAGCGGUGAAAUGUGUAGAGAUCGGGAGGAACACCGGUGGCGAAGGCGGGUCUCUGGACCGAUACUGACGCUGAGGCGCGAAAGCGUGGGGAGCAAACAGG
rnacentral:rRNA from 1 species